rnacentral:lncRNA from 1 species
CGAGAAGAAGCCGCUGGGGGCGUCUGCGCGGACGAACGGAAGUGUAGGUGACGGUCUGAGACAUCGCCGCCAAGCUGGGAACCGGGGAGAUGGCCGAGACUGACCCCAAGACCGUGCAGGACCUCACCUCGGUGGUAAGGGACGGCUGCGCGGGCCCGAGCCCCCGGCACCCCCGGAGGCCCCGCUUCUGGAGGCUUCGCUGGCCGAGGCCCCCGGCCACCGUGACCCCUGGGCCGCUGGGUGCGGGCCCUGCGCCUGCUGACGCCCCCAGGCCCCCCGACCCCCUCACCUGUCCCUGAACCCCGUGACCCCCAGGUCGCCGCCGCCCCAUCCCGCGCCCUCAGCUCCCCACGCAGCCCCUCCCUCCCUCGCGCCCCGAGGCCUCCCGGCCGUCGGAGCUACCGAGACCCCCCCCGGGAUUUUGAAUCUCACUGGGCCCCCCGGGAGGGGGCUUCACAGCCGUCAGUCCGAUUUGACAGGUGGGAACACAAACCCGCAGAGGGAAUGCCUUGCUGGAGGCCAUGGGGCUCCCCUAGAAGGCGACUUGGGGUUGAACCCGGGACCUUGCCUCACGCUUGGGCGGGGCCCCUGUCCCCAUCCCGCGAAGGUGUCUCGGGGUGAGCGUGGGGUGUGUGUUUUGUUUUGUUGUUUCUUAGGUGCAGACACUCCUGCAACAGAUGCAAGAUAAAUUUCAGACAAUGUCUGACCAGAUCAUUGGAAGAAAUAUCCUUUUUCUUUUGUGGUCAGCCUCUUAGGGGCCUUUGGAUCCUGUUUUCCGGAUAGUGGUGUGGACAAAUGGGUGGUUUGCAGGGCCAGCGUCAGCCAGUCGUUUACCAUAUGUUUUGCUGAGCGUGUACUCACUCUUCCUGCGAAGUGUUCUGCCAGGAGCGGGGGGUGCAGCUGGGCUAGACAGACCCCUGGCCACAGAGGCUACCAGUGAUGUCUGCCAGGGUUGCCUGUUGACUGCGAGUGGAGCAUUUGUGUGUGUCUCCUUCCAUCCUCACCAUAACCUGGGGGAGAGGUCAUACAUAGUGUUACCUUUAUUUAGCCAAUGAAAACAGACCCUUGGGAAAGUGCGUGAACUCGCCCCGGUCCCGUCACUAGUAAAGGGCGCGGCUGGGACUCGAUCCUUGCCCCAGUCACCUGUGCUCUUAACCAUUAGGUUAUAAUAACAUCCAAAGGAAAUUGGAAAGCCGGUUUCGUUAAGACAGCUGUGUUUAAGGCCAUAGUCACCAGGGGCCGGGAGGACAAGGAUAAGAAAUGGGAGAUGUUGGUGUGUGUCGUCUUUAACUUCACCACUUGAUGACAUGAGUAGUCGCAUCGAUGACCUGGAGAAGAACAUCGCAGACCUCAUGACCCAGGCUGGGGUGGAAGAACUGGAGGGUGAAAACAAGAUCCUUGCCACACAGAAGAGUUGAAGGUGAGGGGAGGGCCGGCAUGAGCGUGGUGUGUGUCGGUCUAAUUUCCGUGUGCUCAGACCUUCUCCAGAUGGGCUCCCAGCCGUGACCCCAGCAAGCAUCCCCGCUGUGGACUCUGUGUUUUGAAAUUUUCAUGCCAAGCUAAUUCAUUCUGUAGAAUUCGUUUUCCCAGUUUUUAUUAAUUAGACCUAUAUCACUAUUAGUUAAGACCAUUGGUUAACAUUCAAUAACCAUGAGUUUAUAUCAUUGCAGCCCAAAACAAGCAAAUCUAUCUUUGUUGGCCUGAGAAGCCUGUGACUGGAAGAUUUUUCAGUUUUAUUUUUUUAGCUAGAUUACCACCUGAAUUGCCACCUUCAUAAAUGCCUUAAAUUCUCCUUGGAACGCUUCCCCUGUGCUAGGUAAAUGGCAGGACAGUGACUGAUUAUUUCUCACGUGAACUAGAUUGUGACCACUUCGGCCUUCCUCCUGGAGUGGAUUUAGAUUUCCACCGUGUAGGUUCAGAUGUCAGAGGAAGUGCCCGCAGAGCAGGAUCGCUGGGUGCUCAGUUGGCUGCUUUGUGCUCACCACAGUGGGUUCUUCAUGAUAAGCCUUUUCGUGAGUGUGGUGUUUACAAGUAAUUUUUAAGCUCCCUUUAUCCCGUCCCAUUUUUAGCAUUUUAAUUCCCUAUAAAAAUAAAGUUUACUGAGAAUUUUUAGGUAAUACAGGACCAAGCCAAAUAUACAGCGAAAGGUACCAAAUUCCUUUUUUGUUUUCUGGGCAUGUCCUGGCUGGCCCAAAUUAUAAGCAACUAUGAAAUAUAAGUUGCUUUGAAGUCCAAGAAAGUAGAGGUUUGGGAGUAAAAGACUUUUAAAUUUGCUGUUGUCUUAACAAUAGCUUGGGUCGAUUCACUGUGGAGUAAAUCAUGGAACUGUUUUGUGGGGGUUGACAUCUUUAUUCCCUAUAGAGACAGUUUGGAAAAGGUCCUGCCAGUCUUAGAAGCUCCUCUGGGUCUCACGUUACAUGGCGGUUAAAAAUCCCAUCGAGCACAUGAGAACAUCGUCUUGAGAAUUUCGGGAUUGAAGACUUUCAAGUGACAGGGACAAUACAAAGAAAGGGGUGGGAGUACGAAACAGAUUCUGAAUUUUUUUAAAUAACGAUCUCCAAUUAAAUCUAUUGUAUUUUUGCUAGACCAUUGUGCCGAGAAAAUGUCUAAUUCAGUAGGAGAUUCUGAAAGGAUUUCUGGUUGAUAAGUCUAUGUAUCAUUUUUGUUUGACCUCCUAUAGUGAAUAACAUGUUGAUGGUUUUCCCUUUUCCACAGGUUGUGAAUUCACACUGAAAUCCGGAACACCAUUUUUAUAAGCCAAGACUGAACGGCUUUUUGCAACUAACAACUCUGUGUAGACAGGUUUUGUAUGACAAGGUGUGCGUUCUUCUUGUCACAUCUUAUAUAGUUAGUUUAUAGAGUGGUCCCCAUGCCCCCCAGUUUCUUCAACAUGGUGACUUCUCAUCCUGGACCUUGGUCAGUUGUGCUAUUAAAUAUUAAACACUAAAACUUUGGCGGUUCCUGCAUAAAAUUGUCAAAUUUUUUAGUGUAUUUUUGUGAAGUCAUUUUUUUUUCUAUCAUUCCUUUUGUAGUGGUUGCUGUUUGAUAAAAGUUUUGCUGUGUAAUUUUUUUAUUAGCCAUGUAGUGGAUCCUUCUAUUAUAAUUAGAUUUGGUGAAGUAAGGCCUUUACGGAAUUUAGGGUUCGUUAAUUCUCAGCACAGAGUAACUGCUGAGCUGACACCAAAUAAUGUGUUGUGAUACUUUUCAAAUGGUUGAAAACGUUUGGAAAUUGUUUAUUCAGAAAUAUCUGGCGCUACUCUGUUGCCAAAACUCAGAAUGAACUGCAAUUUUAUGUCUUAAGUCCCCGAGGUCAGAUGCUAUAGUCAUGAAAAGUAACCACUGGCACCUUCGUGUGUUAGGAUUUUUAAAUUUGGAGAGUGACAGCCUUGCCUGGUGGAACGAGGCAUCGUUAGUUAGAGUAUCCUGCUGGGUCCCUACAGUGUUCGUCCACAGUAGUCGCCAUAGAAAAUCUGGCAGGAUUUUAAAACUCCAUUACUCCAUCUUGUCUUUGAGCUCCUGACUGGGCAAAGAUACGGAAAAGGAAGACAGACCAGAUUAAGUCCGUGCCACUUGCUUAGCUGGAAAAUGAUACGUGACUUGUUGUAGGCUCAAGUUUGAAAGAAACACUAUUUCUUUAAAGUCUUUCUUACCUAAAUUCUUGCGGAGUGAUGGUUUUACUAUUGAUUGUAGAAGAUAGGGACAGUAACUGGUGCCGUUCAAAAGUGCAGUGUCAGGAGAGCUCAGCCUAGAGGCCAAUAUUGACUGUGGAGGAGCCCCGUGUGAUUGUCACAGCAAAGUGAGUUUGUAUACAAAAAACGGGAAAAUUGAGAAAGGGUGUAGCGCUUCCUAGAGGGAACCCCUUAAUGAACACAGCGUCAUUUUUUUUAAGGUUCCUAUAUCACCAGUCUUGAUUGAUUGUAUUGCAAAUAUGUAAUAAUAUUAAGAAAUAAUUUAUCCUAUUUAUAAAUUAUUUGAGACACAGGGGAGUAAGUUUCCUCUGGGACAAGAAGAAUUAACCGCUGUUAUUACCCAGCUGCAGAAACUCCUCUGCUCGGGCCGUGGGUUGUGCUGCAAGGUUAGCUCUGCGAGCCCGAGCUGGUGCUGGACUCGAACCAGCUGCGUGAGGCCUGGAUGCAGGAUGCUCGCGAGCUCAGUAAAUGGCAAGUGGGAAGAUAGCGUUGCUGUCAGGAUAGUCGGACUUGGAGAGGAGCCGGCUUCCUUAAGUAACAGAAAGAUUCCAGAGGCAGGCUGCCCUGACCAAAAAUAUCUGCCAUGAAUAAAGGUGCCUGAAAUCCUGCUGCUGAAGCUUCCUUUGUGUCAAAAAUGAUUUGGUGUUCCAGGUUUUCCAAUUAAAGUGCAUGUACCUGUUUAGUUUAUCAGCUGAAACCUCUGGAAGGAUUAGGGACAAAUAGCCAGAGGCAAAUGGGAAGGGGAGGCGUGUGUGGAGGCCUGUUUGGAGAAGAGGGGCCGGUGACAGGCGCCGGUGACUGCGGGGUUUGCCCUGACCCAGAGCGAAGGAGAGCUGCUGUCUUACGUGUCCGUGUCCGGGAGCAAACCGCCAAGAAUGUUCCCCAGAACACUUGUCCCUGCAGAAGCUCGAGAAAGGAGGGUUGGUGGUCACUUGGGUUUAGAAAAGUUGCUGAGCACUAGACUGACUUCAUGGAAAUUCACGAUGCAAAUUAGCAUAUUAAAGGGCCAGGUCCCGGAGUGGGGAAAUGUGAUUUAACUUUCUCACCUGCCAGUUUCCUAGUUAUUUGACCAAGAAUCUUUUUUUAUACUUAGGACCUAAUUAACAUUUCAUUGAACUAGUGUGGUGUAAAAUACCCACGGGGAGAUACCGGUAAAGGAAUCCAAUAAACAGCUUUGCGUUCAAUUUAUUAAGGCCCUUGUUGCCACGGACCCACUUGACCCCUCCUUCAAACCUGCAGGCAGGGCCUCGUGUGAAACGGGCUUUAGGACCCUGGUGAGGCCCUCGGUUUGUGGGUGAGCAGCGUGGACGCUCGCUGGGUUCCGUGGGGGCCUCCCACUGCCACAGCCUCGGGCCAGUCUCAGCCUUUUGGGCACCACCUGGGCCCACCAAAGAGAAGCUACUGCCCCCCAUGCUGCCCUGGGUCGCACUCGCCCUCCUUGUCCUGGAGCCUCUGCUCCCUGAGACCCGCUCCUCGAAGACCUGCCCACGGCCUGUGUUUGCACGGGGCCGCCUUGCCUCUCUCCACUUCCAGGCCUCAUCUUUUUGAGCAGGAAAACCUGUCUGCCUCUUUUAGUCUCCAGCUAUUUUUCAUUCAUCUAAAGACCAAUAAAGAUCCUUCUGAGGCCUGUCAAUACAACCUGUGUGGAGGCGCUUGUGCCAAGCGCAGCCCCAAGCCCAGAGGCCCGGCAGCUUCCUCGUUCGGCCUCUAGUCCAUUCUCCUUUCCUUUGGGCCGCAGGACUUGAAAGGAUUUUAAUCUUAUUUGCUUAGCAAUUUUGUUUUUCUGUGGUUUCAUUUCUAGUCAAGGACUACCACGGUUGACCUUAUCAGAACCAGCACACGGUAUUUCCGGUACCUAAAGGUGAAGGUGCCUUUGUGAGUUGUUGGACUGCUGAGAGCACUUGGAGUACUGUUGCCAUGGGAACAGAGUCCUCCAAACAAUCAACUUGAAAUCAACAGUUUGGACAGUCUGUACGUUGAAGGUUUCCUAUAGAGAUAAUUAUGUUCCUCUUUUUUUGUAUUCGGUAGUUUAUGUGUUUUUAAUUAGUUUAAAAUAGAGGCAUUUGCACAAUGUGUUGUCUGAGCUAACCCUGAAGAUUAACUGGCCGCAGUUAACAGUCAUGGCCAGCACCUGUGAAAGCGUUUAUUGGAAACCACUGUGCUGGGCUAAGCGUUUUGUGUAUAUUGACUUAUCCUCACGACAGCCCUGAGUUAGGUUUUUAUCUGAUCCAUCCCAGUGUGAACAGAAGGAACCCAAGGGUGGGCGAUAGUCACCGGAGGUCACACAGCUGGAAGCCAAGCCUGGGCGUCUGCCCCCAGUUGUCCCACUGCAGCGCUCACACUCCGUCCCGCCUUUCUGAGAGCUCAGAUUUCUGAAUCCUCCUGUCCAGGCCCUCUGGGAAUCAUCAACCCUCGACCUCGGUGGAUCUAGAAAUUUAGUUUCAAAAGGCUGAUUUUGCGUUUUUAAUUAAACAUGACCUAAAUUAAAUAAACAUUGUUGAUGUGGAUUUUAUUCAGAAUUAAAAUCUUUCGGGCAGGGCUGGUAGAAAAUGUGCUCCUGGACUAGUCUUUCUCUUUUUUCCCUGGGUAAGUUAUUUGAGAACGACUGUGGAAACAAAUCCAGUUCAGUUUCUCAGAUGUUUGCCCCGACAGAACCACAGGCAAUUCCAGCCACUCGUUUUCCUGUUCGCUUCCCUGCUCACACCCCCAUCGUGUCUCUCACAAAAAUGAUCCCUUGAGACUCACCUUGGGGGACUCCAGCCCCUCCGGCAGUGACCUAUUUGCCUACCUUCUUGUCAGCUCACUUUUUUUUUUCAAAAAAAAAAAAGGAUGAGUGCAGAAGUCUUACAAAGGUGCCCAUGCAGCCGUCACCCGAAUCACAGUCUCCUGUUACUGAUAAGUCUGCUUUCAGUCGCAGCCUGUUUAAAAUUCCUUUCAAUGAAUGAAGGUGGUGGUGAGGGGACGUGGGUCACGGCCCCAAACAAACCAGAGGGCUUGUGACUGGAUGUGUCGCCCCCACAGACCCCUUUGGAAAUAGGAGAGGAGUUUGCUUCUCUAAGUCAGGUUGACUCUGUCAGGCACGAAUCCACCCUGAUGCUUUGCCCUCACACGUCGAGGCUUUCACCGAGAGCUGCCUGGAGGUUCCUCAGACACCCGCCCAGGAUUCGAUUCAUAGCUGAUGGAUUCCGACCAUCUGCUUCCGUGGGCCCCUAGCCCCCGCUGGUGAGAUGUAAUAUUCUGUUGCUCUCUCCUUGAGCAAGGCCACAGCAUGUUUAUGUACCACUUACGCAAACUCCGUGCGCGUCACAAAGAUGCUACCCUGCUCCGUGGUGAUGAUCUUGGCUGUGUAUUUAUAAUCUCCUACUUUGUGGACAUAUGUUGACCAAUCAUUCAUAUCGGUCAGUGGCAAAAUGUCCGCCUUCCAAAGAGGGACAAGUACUGUUUCCUCGUAAUUAAAAACAGCCUGAAUCCAGGAUAGAGCAGUUCAGAAGCAUUUAGCUGCCAGGGAUGGAAAGCACAGCCCCAUCUUCAGCAAGAGGGGGCCGUGCGGUUUCCCACAGCAGGGAGUCCAAAGGGAGGCGGCUGGGAGUGUGAACUCCACACCCGCACAACCAUCAAGGAUCCAGCCGUGUUCAUCUUGGUGUGUCCCACAGAAAGGACAGCUUUCUCCUUUCCUUUCAUCUGUUUUAAGCAUGAGGAAAACGUUUCCUGAAGGUGUUCCUCUUCCGCUCCCUGUGCCUAAACGCCCCAGCCCCGAACAAUUCCCAGCAAGGCCACAGGCCCCUCGAGAUAGGCUGAGCCCUGUGAGCCUCAUCUUCUGGACGUCACAACCUGUGGGGUGGGGGUGCUAAUGGCAUCUGGUGGGUCGAGACCAGGGAUGCUGCUCAACAUCCUACAAUGCACAGGACACCCCCCCCCCCAACAAAGAAUUACCUGGCCCCGAAUACCAAUAGCGCGGAGGAGGUGGAGAAACCCCAGCUUAACCCAUUCGUGGUUCAACCCACGCCUAGGAGCCUAAUGUCUGGGGAACGUCUGAAAGCCCUCGUGAUCAGGCAGCACCCUGAGCCACUGCAUCAAAAUCCCUGCAGGGGGACCCGGACGGCGGGGUUUGUUUCACACCCGCUCGUGCAGUCCAGUGGGAAGUGCGUUUGAGAAGGUCUGUCUACUGCUGCUCAUCAGAUGACGGAAUCCGCCAAGGAAAUUAGGAUUCUGCCAACCUUCCGUCAGCCCAGCUGAGGCCCCCGACUUGGGCAGUCGAGACCCGCACACGAUAUCUGGCUUUCAGUUCAACUCCUGUGUCAUUUUUGCUUCAACGACUGGAUGGUGCCACCACUGUUAGAAUGAAAACGUUUCUGAUGCCCUGACAGGUGACGUCUUGUUAACCAGAUUCAACUUCAGAUGUCCGUGACGUUUCUGAUUGCCUGGGCCCGGCGAGGUGCUAUCACCUGCAUCGUCUCAUUAACUUCCCCACACACUCGAAGGUUGUUGACAUUAUCAGAAAGUUCUCCAGCUGGAAUUCUUCGCCCUCUAAGCAGCCUUCAAAAACUCCAUUCUUAAGCCACUGCUAUGUUUUAUUACCUCUUACCUUUUACAGGCCUGUCGAAGUUGCCAUCAAAACUCAGUGAGCGUUUCCAGAAAGAAACUUUAAAUAUUAAAUACGUUAAAACUAAAGGCCUGUUAUGCAGAAGAAAACCCAGUUAAUUUUGGUGGGCUAUGGAUUAUCAUCAGAAGAGUCAUUUCUGGAAAUUUAAAUAAUAUGGUUGUUUCUUUUAAUGAUGCAUUCUCCUGGAAAUAUAAGACCACUUGACUGAUUCUGCUCCAAAAUCCUAUUGCAGCCAAGGACGGGCCCAAAUUCUUCAUGGAGCAGAAGUCUGGAACUGGCUGGGUACACAGAGUGCAAAGCUGGAGAGGCUGCAAACCACGUCUUAAAAAGAAAUCAGCCUUUCCCCUGGAUAGGCAGACAGGCUAAUGUGAGCCAGGCUCAGAUGUUCCUCAGUUACAACCUGUGUUCAUCGGGCCCAUAAUUAAGAAUCUUAAAGGGAAAGAAACUUUUGAAAACAGCUGUCAAAAUCACGCUGUCUUGCUACCAGAAUUUUAAAAAGGUUUGUCGUUACCGCAGGUCACUGCUGGGGUCUGAGCCCUCGUCACUGUGGCCAGACCCUCUAUCAGAUCCUUCGUCUGAGAGGUUGAUUAGAUGAAACAGACACUUUGCCAGCAUCAUUAAAGGAAAUAUGGUACGAGUCUUUUAGUGGGUCAAGCUCAUUUCCUCAAACCCGAACAAGGUUUAACGGUGAUCUGCGACCCAACUUCGCCUUCCCCGUAAUGAAAAGCAGACCCUGCAGGACCCCUCUGGCGCAGGUGGGCCGGGAUUUCUGGAGUCACUUACUGAGAACGUUUUCUCCUCACCAUGAGCUCUGCCAGAAAUGUCUUGGGUUCGUCCAAGCUAAUCCAUAUUCGAGAACCAUGAUGGACAAGAUUCGUUAGCAAUGCCUUAACAAGUCACUAUCCGGCCAAUUCAGAACUUGAGGAAUCUCUUUGGUAUGAAGUAAUAUAAUAGACUGGGUGAGGAUUCUUUGAAACUAAAUUGGUGUGGUAAUUUGUCUGCUUUCUGCUGGAUGUAACGCCGUCGAGAUGUUAAGCGUUUUCUUCGUUGGGAACUGACAACUGUUCUCUGGGAUUUCAUACCUUCUUUCGAUGACCCUGUAUUUGGUCUUUGUUGGGAAAGGUUUGCAAUGGCAUUCGGCCAGAAUCACUAAAGCUCUAACGAUAUUCAUUCUACUCAGAUUUGUUUUCCAUAUUUUGGUCUGAGAAUGGGUAAUUUUUCUGCCUUGGAUUUAAAACAAAACUUAUAUCAAGGAAAAUUUUUUUUUGGCUAGGAGAUAAUGGCUUAAUGGCAAUGGUUCUUAAAAUGUGGCCCCACUCCCACCCCUCUGGGCCAAUAGCACCAGCAGCACCUGGGAACUUGUUAGAAACGCAGGUUCCCAGCCCCUCCCAGCUCCACCCAACCAGAGGUGCUUGGGUGGGUGGGGCAGCCUGGGUUUUACCACCAGGGGGUUCUGCCCUCGCUCACCUGUGAGAACCAGGGCCUUGGGUGUCAACUCUGGUUGUCCAAUAGCUUUGUGGGUCAGAUGACUCUAAACAUCAGAAGCCCCCGGGACAUUGAUUGACAUGCAGAUUUCCAGAUCCUCCUUCAUGGAUCCUGAUCCAGUAAAUAUGAGGCAGGGGCUGUGGAUCCGUGUUUUCAAUUAAUUCCCCAGUUGAUUAUUUUUGUCUGUUAUUUCCUACCCAGGAAAACACUGCACAGAGAAAUGAGGCAGCACAGGAGAUGUUGUCAUGCUGAGUCACUCAGGCCUGGGCCAGUCCUAAGGUAGCUUAAAAGCAAUUGGUUCCUAGUUACCCAGAACAUCCUAGCACGGGGCAGAGCGUGACCUUUGCGGCCCCGUGAAAUGGUGGUUCACCCUCCAGCCCAAGGAGCCCAGCCUGAAGAGCCCUCACUGCGCGAAACUUGAAUCACUUCAAAUCAAUUUGCUUCUUAUUAAAAUGUACUUCAAUAAAACACCAUUUCAACUCUUAAGCCGCAAAAGGAUAUCGAAUCAUUUAAAGCUUUCUCAGUGUUUCAGUUGAUUUAAAAGGCGUUAGAGAGCACGGUAAAUAUUUUACCAGAAAGAUAAGUUAUCCAAUAAGGAGAUUAUUUAUUAAAAACUAGUCAUUUAUUAGUUCAUUUAUCUUUAUUUUCAGGAAAGUGUGUUCUUUUAAUCUGGGCACAGUUUUUUUCUAUUCCCACAGCAGGGUUAAGCUGUGAGGUGAUAAUUCUGUAACACAUAAAUGUAUCGAAAUAUAAUUUAACUUGUGUCAGUAACAAGAAAGAUAUCUGUAAAACUACAUUUUAUUCUUUUUUUUUUUUUUGGAGGAAGAUUAGCCCUGAGCUAACAUCUACUGCCAAUCCUCCUCUUUUUGCUGAGGAAGACUGGCCCUGAGCUAACAUCCGUGCCCAUCUUCCUCUACUUUCUAUGUGGGACGCCUGCCACAGCAUGGCUUGCCAAGUGGUGCCAUGUCCACACCCGGGAUCCAAACCUGCGAACCCCAGGCUGCCGAAGUGGAAUGUGCACACUUAACCUCUGUGCCACAGGGCCAACCCCUAAAAUUACAUUUUAAAAGAACUUUUGGAGGGUUUUAAACAUAGUUUCCUGUACUUAAAAAGAAAUUGUGUUUGCUGUUUUGAAAAAGAACAAGUUAGUCAUUUAUUUUUUAAUUCAUCCUUCCUGAAGGAAAUAAUUAAGGCAGGAGCUUUUUUUUCCUCUGAUUGGUAGAAAGAAAAGCAUUUAAGCCCAAAAUCGAGGCACUGAGUUCAAGUACUUAUGAUCAAACAUUUUAUUUCAAUCAUAAAAAGAAUUAGAAUACCUUCAGCUGCAAGCAGUGGCUAAAAACAGCUUAAGCAGUAAGGCUACUUAGUGACCUCGUAAAAUGAGCAGUCCAGGGGCAGGUGGUUCUGGGCACGCUUCCUGUAUCGGCUCCACUCUGUCCCGUGCACUCCAGGCUGGCCGCUCCCUGCUUCUCUUGCUUUCUCCCUCAUCUUGACACAAUAUCUCCAAGCAUCACACCUGGGGACCAACCCAACACCCCUCCCCAAACCCUCUCUCCCUGUCCACCUGUGUCAUAGGGUGAGUUGUGUCCCCGCAGAAGAUGUGUUGAAGUCCUAACCCCCAGCACCUGUGAAUGUGACCUUCUUUGGAAAUAGGGUCUUUGCAGAUGUGAUCAAGCAAAGAUGAGGUCUAGAUGGAUUAUGCUGGGACCUAACCCAGUGCCUGGAGUCCUUUGAAGAAGAGGCACGGGGAGAAGGCCAUGUGACGACAGAGGCAGAGAUGGGAGGGGUGUGUCUAGGAGCCAAGGAUUGCUGGCAACCACCAGAAGCUGGGAGAGAGGCAAGGAGGAAAUUCUCCCUCAGAGCCUCUAAAAAGGAACCCACCCCACUGACAACUCGGUUUGGGGCUUCCAGGCUCCAGAGCUGUGAGAGAAUACACUGCUGCUGUUUCAAGCCCCUCUGGUUUAUGGGAAUUUGUCAUGGCUGCGGUAGGAACUAAGGCAUCUCCAGUGUAGAGGCAGAAAUGCUAGAUGUGCUCUUUUCCAGCUUUCCUCGCACAUCCACUUCCUGGAUGUAGCCGUUUGCCACAAUGCUCAUUGAUGAGAAGUCACUGAAAAUCUGCCCAGUGGCUCUGAGGACAGCUUUUGCUUUCCUAGUAAAAGGGACAGACGCCACCAGCACUUGCUCUUCUCCCUGUGUCUUGCUUGCACUCGGACAGUGCUGGAGAGCCCUCCUUUGACCUUGAGGUGGCAAGCGUGCGGCUGAAACAGUGGACUGGAAAGACACAAAGACAGAAGGAGCCUGGGUCCUUGACACCGUCAUUGAAAGUUGAAUGACGUCUGCCCACCUACCACUGGACCUGUGAGAAACACAAACCUUGAGUCAGUGCUUGCUGUCUCAAGUGGUCUCAACCAUCCCAGCGUGGACCUGACUCCCCUACGCCCCAUCCAAGGCAGGCAGGCAGGAGAUGGGCCAGCCUCACUCAUUCUCUUCCUCCCUUUCUGCCUCGGCCCCCAACCCCUCCUCCCUCUCCUCUCCCCCUCCCUUCCCUCUCGCCCCUCCCCUCUCUCUCAGAGACAGUCUUUCCCAUAAUUCUCCAGCUGCCUUCCCCUUACAUCCCAUGGCCAGAGACUGGUCGCAUGCCCACCUCACACCCAUCCCUGGCAAAAGGGGCUGGGGUUUCACUGACUGGCUAAGGAUCAACUUGGAGACAGUCUCAUCUGGUCUGAGCCCAUGACUCAGUUUCAGGAAGCAGGAUGGGGAGGCACCUACCUGAACAGGUCACCCCAGGCUGGCCCAACCUUGGUGAAGUCACUGAGUUCCAAGAUGUGGUCCAAAAUGGCAGCAUAUUAAUUUUCAAUGAGAAAGAGAACUAUGAAGGAGUUCUCUCUGCCAGCCAGUCUGCCCAGGCAGCUAAAGCCUGUUCAGAAGGCAGCUUGGAGAGCGUGCCCACAAACUGAGCCAAUGCAGGACCCCCACCCGCAGGGACCAACCCACGGUGUGGACCACACACUUGUUUGUGUGGGCCAGGCAUCCAUUGCCCCCAUGAAAGACAAGAAGCACAAUGCUAGCAUCAAAUCUCUAGCCCUGUGCCUGGAGCCUCCAUGGCUGACCCACCUCCUCUUGAGGACUUCUCUGUUCUUUAUCAGUGAUGUUAAUACUGUCAGUCAGACUUGAGGCUGAGCUGGGUCCUGACUCUCCAGGAUGCAGCAGAAGGAAGGAAGGAAGAGAGGAGUGAAUGGAUGGGCACAGCCUUCUGCUCUGAGACCACCUGUUGGUUGUUUAGGCUCAAGAAACAGAAGCUUAAACAAAAAGGAUCCCAGGUCUCACACCCCAAGGCCAGGGAGGAGCAGACCAAGGGCACGUGGGGCUUCCGAGCAGCAACAGGGCCUGCAGACCUACCCUCUGCGCUUCCACUGUCACUCUGUGAAUUCCUGUCCUUGGGCUGCGUAACCAAGCCCUGCAGACUGGUGUCUCAACAACACAGAAGUGUCUUCUCCCACAAUCCUAGAGGCUAAACAUCGAAGAUUAAGAACGCUGCAGGGCCACGCUCCCUCUGAAGGCUCUAGGGGAGGAGACUUCCUCGCCUCCUCCAGCUUCUGGUGGUGCCAGCGGUCCUGGGGGCUCCUUGGCUUGUAGGCACAUCGCUCCAGUCCUGCCUCAGGGGCCUUCCUCCCUCUGUGUGUCUGUGCCUCGUGACACGAUAGUCUCCUCUCCGUGUGUCUGUGUCCAAAUUAACCUCUUCUUAUAAGGACACCAGUCACUGAGUUAGGGCCCACCCUGGUCCACUAUGACCUGAUCUUAACUCAUUAUAUCCGCAAAGACCCUAUUUCCCAGUAUGGUCACAUUCACAAAUACCGGGGUGUAUUUGUAACUUCUAGGGGCACACAGUUCAACUCACGACACUGUGCCUCAGUUUCUCCAGCCAAUCCAGAUGUUAGGUACAGAGAGAGGCUCGAACUGGCCCAGCAUGACAGGUGUCUGCCCCUGGCCCAAUCAGGCUGGUGGGUGGUUCUCAGGGAGCAGUGAGGGAUGUGAGCUGGGAGCCUCCCUUCUGGUGGGUCCCCCCACACACGAUGCUGGUGGGAGUCUUGGAGGCAUUGGUAAUGUUUCCAGGUAUUGCCCACCUACAGCACAGGAAUGCAUUGAUCCAACUCCCGCCUGCUGGUUUCCUUAGAGAUCUUCACAUUUCAGAAAGCGGUUAGAGUGUCAGGGUCCUUGGCCACAUUUCCCGGGCACCCCAUAUCUCAACCCCACCAUAACCAGGGCCCACUUUCUCCUUCCUUUCUGGAGUAGCUGGCUUCUGACCGUCACUGCUCUCCCUUUAUCCCCACACACCCUCUCUGGCUCCCCUUGAUCUGUGCUUGGGACCCACCGUUCAUCCCGGAUGCUCUGAACAUGGCCUUCUUUCCCCAGCCGUCAUUCAUUCAGUCAGACCGUCUCUGAGUGAUUGGCUUAGCAUUUCACAGCCGGCUUUUGAAAAGAAAUCAUAACUGGCAUAUCAAGGGUUGAUGUGGUUUGGAGAAAUUAAGAUUUUUUUUUUCAUGAGCAAGUAAACUGAGAAUUAAAUUAGGUCUAAAAUUUAUUUGCGCCUUCUGACAACUUGUUUGCAGGAAGUAAUUGCCCGGGUGCUGGCAACUUGAAUAAUCAAAGAGAGGCUUAGGAAAAACUGGGCAUUGCAAAAGAAAGAAGGAAAUAAUAAAUUCAAAUUAAGAGUUUAUUCUCCCAAAUAUUUAUCUAUAAGGAUUUUCAAACACACGGCAAAGCUGAAAGGCUUUCUCCAGUGACCACCUGUGUGCGCCCCGAGAGUCUGUGUGGACACGUGACUGUGCUUGCUUUAUCAUCCCCCUGUCCUCUUUCCAUCCUUCUCUCCAGCUGAGAAUUGAUGUUUUAAUUAGAUGAUUACAUAUUGCUCCUGGGGACUCUCUCUGGGAAAGCGCAGAGCAGACUGUCAGCACUCACUUUCCGUGUCCGUCAGCCCAGGAUGGAAGCCCUUCAGAUCAGACUCCCUGUGAUACUGUGAUUUGUAAAAAGAAACAUGUAUUUAGUCUUCGUCCUGUCUCUGGCACAGAGCUCCUAAAACCCUUGGGGUUUCCCAAGUGAUAAGAGCUAUAAAGCUGUCUUGAUAUUCACGACAAAGCCCUUUCACCCACACCUGAGUUUACAUUUAUGCCGUGACUUUUGGAAAGCACCAUGGAGGGGGCUGGCUGCCAGGGGAACCAGCCAUGUGAUUGGAGGGUUGGCACUUUCUGUCCCACCCCCAGACUUGUGGGGAGGGGAGAAGGGCUGGGGGCUGAACCCAUCACCAGUGGCCAAUGAUUUAAUCAGCCACGGCUAAGUAAGGAAGCCUCCGUAAAAACCCAAAAACUGAGGGGUUCAGAGAGCUUCCAGCUGGUGAGCACGUGGAGAUCCCAGGAGAGUGGCGAGGCUGGAGAGGGCGUGGGAGCUCCGCCCCUUCCCCACCUUGCCCCGGGCAGCUUUUCCAGCUGGCUCUCGUCUGUGAUAAAAUUUUCCACUGCUGCCGUGCCUUGUUUUCUUGAACCCAUACAAAAAACACGAGCCUGCCCCCAGAGACAAACCCCAGUUUCUACGCCUUCCCUGCCUCGAAAAGUUGGUGGAGACAUCAGUUCCAGGGGCAAGAAGAAGCUCUCCGGUGAGGGGAUGCAGCUGCCAAC